GACAUACAUUUAAAACGGACACAGAAGUAGUCGUCUCGACUGCACAAUUCUGGCGUUUCCUUGAUUGCGAAGAAUGAUGUGCGCCUGCGCGGAACUUCCUGUUCCCCCACUACCAGUUUCUAAACCCAGAGACGUAACAACGCGAGACUUCAGAGAAGGCUUGUGAAGCGGACCAAGCCUGGGUUUGAGAAGUCAAUGAGAGAAGUGAACAAUUCUGAUACUUUUGCAGCGUUUAAUGGGGAUCCUAAUAAAUACCAAAAAUAUUCCGUCGGCACACACUUGAAACAUGGCCAUUAUUUUAUCAAUGUCAUAACUGCAAUGGCUUGUUCACAAUACCUAUCACAGGUAGCCUAGUUAUUAGCGUAAGAGCGGGGCAAGUAACCGAAAUGUUGCUGUGUCGAAUCUUCGACAUGACAAGAUUGUCGCAAAAGAAACAAACGUGUUAUAAGACGAGACAAAAACGUCAAGACAGGAGAGAGAAGAUUUCCACAAGGUCUCAGACUCCAAGAUGGGAAAAUGCCUACUAGAACGAAACAUAUAACAGAGACAGAGUUGUUGAUAUUCAUUGUUAUUUGUAACAUUAAAAAGGAGGACAAGAAGACUA